rnacentral:rRNA from 1 species
UACGUAGGUGGCAAGCGUUAUCCGGAAUUAUUGGGCGUAAAGCGCGCGCAGGCGGUCCUUUAAGUCUGAUGUGAAAGCCCACGGCUCAACCGUGGAGGGUCAUUGGAAACUGGGGGACUUGAGUGCAGAAGAGGAGAGCGGAAUUCCACGUGUAGCGGUGAAAUGCGUAGAGAUGUGGAGGAACACCAGUGGCGAAGGCGGCUCUCUGGUCUGUACUGACGCUGAGGCGCGAAAGCGUGGGGAGUCAAACGGAUAGAUACCCGGUGUAGCAUCC